UGUGCUAAAAAAAUUAACAAGAAGCAAAACAAAGGAAAGAUUUAACUGAUUGUGAGCACUUAAAGCCAGGAGUUGUGUGACAUCAUUUAGGCUUCUGACAUAUCAAUAGAGCAGCUAUGUGACAUGUAUGUAUGAAAAUUACUUUGUGGAUAAUCAACUCAAUGGUUAUCUGCUCCACACACCUUCCUUUAGAAAAUGUUGAUAUUGAACUUUGUCACUGCAAUCUUUUAACAAACAUUUCCAUUAUGACAAAGAGCAUGCAACAUUUUCUUCUAUAAAUGGUCAGUGAACUACUUUACUUUACUUUUAUAUUCCCGGGACCAUUUUAAUUUUAAAUUUUGUAAAAAUUGGCAUUCAGAGUUUGAUUUGUCUUGAUGUUCAUUUUGGAUUAAUUAGCCCUAUGUUAAUUAAGCACAAUAAAAUUAGGUUCAAAUUUUCUUUAUCAUAUAUAAUGUAAUAGAGAUAGCUGUAAAAGCAGAUUAUAAAUUAUGAAUUAUUGUAAA